UGGUGAUGAUGAUGGUGGUGGUGAUGGUGAUGAUGAUGGUGGUGAUGAUGAACAUUAACAACAUCAUCAUCAUCACCAUCAUCAUCAUCAUCUAAG
rnacentral:pre_miRNA from 1 species